GAUGAACGCUGGCGGCGCGCCUAACACAUGCAAGUCGAACGGUUAAAGCACCUUUUAGGUGUGUAUAAAGUGGCGAACGGCUGAGUAACACGUGGGCAACCUGCCCUCCUCUUGGGGAUAGCCUCGGGAAACCGAGGAUAAUACCCGAUACUUCAAUGUGGCCGCAUGACGACAUUGAGAAAGCUUUUGCGGAGAAGGAUGGGCCCGCGGCCUGUUAGCUUGUUGGUGGGGUAGAGGCCUACCAAGGCAAUGAUGGGUAGCUGGGUUGAGAGACCGACCAGCCAGAUUGGGACUGAGACACGGCCCAGACUCCUACGGGAGGCAGCAGUGGGGAAUCUUGCACAAUGGGCGAAAGCCUGAUGCAGCGACGCCGCGUGCGGGACGAAGGCCUUCGGGUUGUAAACCGCUUUCAGCAGGGACGAGGCGAAAGUGACGGUACCUGCAGAAGA
rnacentral:rRNA from 2 species